GCCCCUUUAGCUCAGUGGAUAGAGCGUCUACCUCCGGCGUAGAAGGUCGCAGGUUCGAAUCCUGUAGGGGGUACCA
rnacentral:tRNA from 2 species